rnacentral:lncRNA from 1 species
AAAGAACAGCGGCAGUGCUGUGAUAAGCCACUAAACAAGGAGAGAAGUUUCCCACCCGAAGCCGUUCUUUCAGAGCAGCUGCUCCGAGCUGGGCACGGCAGCCCCAGCAGCGCCGUGAGCUCACCGCGCACGCCAGAUGGGCAACGGCAGCAUCGCGGCUCAACCCGGCACGCUGGGGCUGCUACAACACGAAAAUCUCGCGAUCGUUCUCCAGCAUGUUGCGGCUCACACACGGAGCUGCCUCAGGUCGAUGCUAACCGAAGUAACGCACGCACACGCCCAGAUCGCUGCCUUCCCGCUGCAGAGCCGCGCAGGGGCCGAGCGGAGCCCUCCGGCCGAUGCGCCACCGUCGCAGCGCGAGGCCCGGGCAGCAGCCGCCAGGAAAUUUGGACAGCGGUAAAUGGGAAUAAAUGCUUAAAUUUGCCGAAACGGAGUCCAGCGUGGUUUCCAGGGCUCUGCACUCCAAAAAUGAACGAUGGUUGCAGUUCUGAUUAAAUAAAUCUGCCAUGGGCAAACGCAGAUCCAGUAAUCUAGGGAACCCAGCUUAAACACAACCUGCCAGAGUAACACUGAAUCAGAGCUACCGCAUACGGACGUUAUUUCUGCCUUCAAUGAAGCAUAGCAGAACGGAAAAGGAAACCGAGCAGGCAGACCAGGAGAUGGUGGAAGAGCCCUCAUCUCCCAUGAGUGCUGCGAUCCCAUAUGUUUAAUCCAGUUAGAGCUAAACAAGGUCAGAAGGCUGUGGUGUGCUUUGCCAGCAGUCCCUCUUGCGAUGGAGCUUCGUGUAUGCCUUUCAGUGAAGCAGCACUGUUAUGGAAUUAGGCAGGCCAAGUAGAAAUGUUACCAAUUGUUUUUCCGCCCAUUUGAAUGCACUGCCCUUACCCACACUGGCUGUUGUUCUACCUCAGCGAGGUGACAUUAAAGUGUCAAUUCUGGAAAGAACGUAAAAGUGUUUCAAUAAAGUUAUUAGUUUGAUGGUCGAAAUACUGGGUUAUGUUAAGGGAACGCCGAUACCACAAAAUGAUGAAAAGCAGAGAGGAGAAAAUGUUUCUAUGCCUCCAACAGCAACAAAACCAGCGGUAAGAAGAGUUUCCCAGGCAGAAAUGCAGCCUUGUGUUUGAAGGCUGUAUUAGUAAACAGGGUAAGCCUUACCAUAGGUGGGGCUAAACAUGCCGUGGUUUGCACUAUCUCCAUCUUUGCAUCAAGUGAGGAGGCCCAUAGACAGGUCCGUCCUACAGGCAGGGUCUGGAGGCUCCCUGUGCUUACAGAUACCAUCUUUAACUGUUAACUUCACGUUCUGUAAACAGAAAAAGCAAGUGGCAUACUAUGAGAGGCCCCACUGCUCCCAGGAACAGCAUUAUCAGGCUUAGAAAAAGAACCAACACACAGCUGCCCUACAAUGUUGCUUGUUGGGGAUUUCAUUUUUUUCUGCUAAAAUUAAAACGGUGUCUCCUGAAAUCAUCACUGCAGCAAUAGCUGCAUUAUUUGUAUGGGCACACUGGAGGCACAGCUCUGGUGGUAUCUGCUGCAAGAGCACAGCGUUUGUGUGCGCAGUACCUUGGGGUGACCCCAACCCACCCAUCAUCCAAACCAAAUGCAGGCAUUCAGUACAGAAGGAAUUUUCCCAGCACUAUUUAAGGAGACUUCAAGUGGAGGAGAAGAAAAAGAGAAAUAAGACAUGCAAGGCGUUUUAUAAAGAUGUGUUUUAACUUCUAAGGCAGUCAGGAACCAUGGUGAUGAAUGUGACACAAACUUAAAUUGCUCAGAUACGAGCUCUGAUCCACUGGGAACCAUCCUCAGAUUCAUAAAGAGCAUCAAAUGCUAAUAGCUUCUAAUCAGAACCUACCUGGGCCCGAUUUAACCAGUGACAUACAGCUGAAAGCCCAUGGGAUGCAUUUUGAUUUAAAUGUCAUCCAUCCCUUCGGCAAUGUGAAGUGACCUCGGGCUUAAAUGAGCAUCUCUGCAAUUUUAUGCCAUUGGGAAGUUAAAUGCAGUAUCUUGCCCAAAGUGCAGGGCAAUUUGAUUGAUGCCAAAAUGAACUCACUUUUUUUUGCCCCCAGUAUUUCGUUUCUUCUCUGCUCAGCAUUCUGACUGACUUUACAGGAAGCUUAUGGUGGUUUAUAGAUUAUGGACUUAAAAGUGGUGAACAGAUAGCUAUAUUUGUUUUGAGCACCCCACGGAGAGCAAAAACAGUCCUUAACUGCAGAACUACGCUGUCCGUAACAACCUUGGACUCACACUGGAUGUCGUUCUGCCGCUGUCACACUGUCACUGUCGUAGGGGAUGUCGUGUCAUGUUCUUGUCAGAUCUGAUGUUCACAAAUAUGAUACAGCUUGAAAACUUAGGUACAAUUUCAAGUCCUUUUAAUGCUCCUUAGUUUUAGAGAAGUCAUUUACAAUUAUAUCCUAAAUAUUUUAGAAGGAAUCCAUUUUACGGCAUCCUUAAAAUCUUAUAAAACUCUAACAGUUGUAAUUAACAUACUGACAUUUUGCUGCUAUGUAAAAUUAAGUUGCUUUUAUUUCUCAGCUGCAGUAGCAGCAGUAUCCAGGCACUGUCCUGCACUUCAGUAAUGGAAAUUUCCCAGCUUCAAAGCACACUUUGUCUCAGUUGGCUGCAGUAAAACCGAGUGAUUUCUAUAUUGUUGUGUGCUUCACUUGUCCUUAGUUAUCUGGAGCUUGUAUCUUUUGAAAACCAGCUUCUCCACGAGUCAGCUUCGCUUUGCUCAAGACUUCCAAUUCUGUAAACAAGCUAUGGAUGAUGCAAGUAUUGAGCCAGAGUUAUUCUGCAGGAGUGACAAAACACAUGCACAGUCAGUGUUUGCACAGAAUGUUAUGGUGACUUACGAGGACGUCGCUGCAGUCACAGUUUGCGUGUGCCGAAGUUCCAUGCACCAAAAGGCUACUGAGAUUUUACAGAACAGACUUAGCGUGUAAUAUCAGCCUCCUGAUCUCUCUGUUUUUGAUAUCAUCAGUUGCUAGACGAAUACACAAAAACACAAAAUAGGCAGUAAGAUUAUUACAAAACCUCACAAGGCUCAUGAUUUACAAAUACUUAAACACACUGUCUGUUUCCCCCAGUCACUCUCAGUUCCACUUCACACUGGACAAGGGAUGCCUCCAAUAAGGGCAGAAGUUAAAGAACAUAGACACAGGAUUAUUGGGGUUUUAUGUGGUCCAGAUAUUGCAGCAAUUUCAUUUUCAUUCUUUCUCACUCACAGUUAAAAAAUCAAGGGGGUAUGUGUGAUGAAGAGCUUGACUGAUGGGAGGAUAGAGAAGAAAGCAUCAGUCCUGAUAUCAGCCCAAUUGCAUUACACCUGGGGCAGACACAGAAGCACCUUCACUGAGAACCAGUUUAGGAAAUGAUACCAAACCUUCAUGACAAUGCUACUAGAACUUCAUUUCAAGUGAUGUUCUUAGCACUCGUUUUGGUUUAUAACAACCAUGUAGGUAGUGAUCUUGUGGUGGCACAAGUAUAAUUCCCCGCUGUCUGCUCCUGUUGUACAUAGCACUGUCUGAACAAGGCAUAGGAAACAGUGUGCCAGUGGGAUUCUGAGAUGCUCACAUAAAAGCCCAGAAUACAGACAGCACUGGUACAUCACACAACAAGAGCAUGGAGCCCUUAUGAGACAGCUUGGAGGCCUCAGCGCCGUUAUUGUGAAUAUAAAGUUUCCACAUAUGAACGGUCACUCUUAGCUUUCCCAUUGCUGCUCUUGGCAGACAACAAGAGCUGACUGGAAAUGGAACAACUGUUUCCCUGCACCGGUCAGAGCCCAGCCUGCUGGCACAGAGUGGCAGAAGAGGCACUGCCCCAGGGCUUGGGCUGAGAUGCACUGCAGUACCUGCAGGGCAGUCUGCAUCGCUGCUCUCCAGGCAACACUAUGCUGCAGGAGGAAAGGUGGCAGCCUCUUCUCUUGCGCUUUGUUCAGUCUGCUGAUCAGAGCGCCCAAAGAGUCUGUACUGCAUAACUUUAAAGAUAGGAUAUAAAUUACAGACAUCAGUUCCCAGUCUAGCAAAUCAACAUUCAUUUUUAAAACAAUCGGUUCUUUUGCAGCUUUGCAUAUCUAUAGCAGAAAUGAGCCACGCAGGCAGGAGAGACUUCUUGAAGGAAGUGGUGUCGCAGUAUUUUGGAAAAAAAAAAAGCCAAGCUGUUGGAAUAUGUGCUGCAUUACAUGGGCAAUGCAGUACCUUGGAGUGCUUCCUGUUUACACCACACCACACCAUACAACUUGCAAGCAUUUGUUAAUAAACACUCCUAAGGAAAGAAUUAAUAAUAUCCAAGUAUACAGCCCCCUGCGGCACCUGUCGCUGUAAACGGGAAGUUUUCAUGAUAGUAUCAGGGGGUUGUUGGUGUGAGACAAGCAGCUUAUGAGGCCCAGUCCAUGUCCCACUGAAAUCCACACCGCAUCUCUCAUAGGGUCAUUGGAUCCCUGGCAUACUUUUUUUUCCCCUGUAAAUAUGUAAAUAGCAAUUCAUUUGAAUAAAUUUUUACUCUCAGCAUUUGUCAUUUUUGCAAACAUAGGAAUACGAAGCAUGAACUUCUGCAGAAACGCAGCACAGAGCCUGACAUGAUGAUGGCAAAAGUACAGCCUGCUCCUAAGAACAAUAAUCGGCAAGUUCUGAGGUGACCAAUCAAAUACAGACAUUGCUCCCACGAUCAGAGCAGCACUGCCUUGCUGCAUGAGCUUUCACACAGGACAGCUCAGUCCAGCUCUUGUAGGUGAGUUAACCUAGCCUGACAAAGCAGAGCUGUGAAACAGAGGAGUGCACAUUUUUCAGCACCAGCAACCUUUCUGGUGCAACUUGCACCCGCAGCAGAUAAGAUCUUUGGCAAGGAAAUACAAAUUGCAGACUGGUUUAGGAUGUUCUUGCAAUAGUGGCUAGAACUUAUCCUGUGACUGACAGGAACAUGGGGUAGAGGACAAAGUUGUCUGCUACAUCCAUAAGAGAAUAAGCACUGUGUUAGGUGGCUAUACAACUGUGCAGAAGACAGCUCUUGUGCCUCAUGCGGCUUCACCACUGAAGGAGGCUCGUUAAGUUCAGAGCAGAUUAUAAAUCUUUGUUCAAGCUUUCUGGGACAAAUGAGAAUAUCUGAAUGGCAGUUUCAUGUGGUAACCUUGCUGCCUGGAAACUCAAGAUGGGUAAUAAUUACAUAUAAUUCUUUCUUCUUUAAAUAGCUCUCAUCAGACUAAGAGAAAGGCUGAACCUCAGAAGGAUGUUCCCUCCAGCCACCAGCACUAGAUCUAGCUAAAUUUCAUGUAAUUAAGACUUUUAUAGCAUUUUAACAAUGGGAAAAUUAUCUGCUUCCAUUACCAUUGUCUUACCUGACAUCAGCGGUUAUUACUUCAGAUAUGCAGAGCCCCACGACAAGAUGCCUUCUGUAAGUGCAAUACAUCCAUUGUAAUCAAGUGCUACAUUAUCUUACUACAGUACUGAGCCUAUGGGUCUUGUACAAGUGACACAAAAUUGUUGUGGGGAUCCAUCGGUGCCCUCAUUUCCCACUGUCAUUAUCAGAGCCCAAGUGAACCUUUGGCCUGGAAAUCUUUUGGCAAAAAGACCAGCAGCAAUGAAAGUAUUUCUGACUAUUUGACAAUAAGGGCUGCUUAAAUAAACAAACAAACAAACAAACAAAUCAUAGAAUCAUAGAAUCGCUAAGGUUGGAAAAGACCCACAGGAUCAUCCAGUCCAAUAAAUAAAUAAAAGGAAGAAGAAGGAAAGGGAAAAGAGAGAGCAGGAGAGAAUGCUGCUCUUGGAAGAACAUGGCAAAACAUCUAUAGAAUGACACUGUGCAUCUGAUUUUGAAGGUACAAUUAAUGGAGGUGGAGUAAGAUUAAGGGGCUGUGCUCUGCCAAGCAGUGUGUGCAGGAGAGCAGACAGCAGAUGCCCAGACACUUAGGCCUAUGCCUCUCAUGUUAGGCUGCAGUACGGAAGUGUGUGUGGAUAUUUAAUUGUAAUUCAUCUAUGAAUUGCUUGGGUUUAUGAAUCUGGGAAGCCCAUAUGCUGCAGCAAGAAAUGUGUGUUUAUUAGCACAGUAGUUCCACCAGCCUUUCCUGCAGAGAGGCACAGUACCCCCUUCUACAGCAAAUGGGUUAAAGAAGAGCAAUGCAGCACUCUCAUGUCCCACUUACCUUUGUGAAGUGCAGCUGGAUGCACGCCAGUAUGCAGAUACAUUUCCAUCAUGAACUCUGAACAGCUAAUAUCGCCACUUGUCUCAGAUAAUAAAGAUCCAGCUGCAGUCUUCUUAUCAAAACCCAAUUUGGAUAAACAUAUGCCUAAAUAAGGGAGAUAUACAGGACUCUUCCUUUGUGAACUGCUACCUGGAUACAUUAGUAUAACCCUUUAAGAGCAAGACUGGCAAAAUGGGACCACUGCCCUGUAUUCCAGUGUUUUCUAAGUGCUUGUUUUAAGCAGCUUUCUGCAGUCACUCUGAACACAUCCUCUUUCCUCCUCAGUUCUUCUUUCACUACUCUUACCCAUGGCAACAUCCUCCUGGGCUCCUGCAGUCUUGCAGCAAUUUGUUCCCUCCUCUGCUGUGUGCACUGCCACUGCUGGAACACCUCCCUUCACCUGUCCAGGCAUCUGUCUUAAUCACUCCGUAUUCAGCGUGUCCUCUUCUGAGGGAAGGCACAACCUAGGAGAUGAAGAGGGAGGUUAAGUAUAGGGUAGCAGCAGGGCAUCCUCCAGCACACCCCAAAUCUGCAGCAAAAAUCUGACAUCCAUACCUCUCCCCACCACUGCAGUUCCAGGUUUGACUCUCACAGUAUCUCCCCUCCUCCCUUCCUGGACUGAUAGCUUCGCUAUUUUUUGCUGAAUUCAUUUUCUUAAAGUUUAUUGAGCUGCAUAAAUUCAUCAAAGGGUCAGACAAGCACCAGACCUGCACAAAAAGAGAGCAGUAGGGCUGUCCUUUUUGAUACUAGCAAUUCAUUAGGUUUGGCUCAGCUGCCAUGUGAUAGCACUCUUGAGUCUCGCUUUGCCUGUGAAGCAGGGAAAUUUGGCUCCACUGCUGAGGAGCCUUCAGACACCUGUUGGCUUUGCCAUUCUUUGAUGCACUUUUCUCCUUUCUGGCCAAAACACAGGAAACAGUCAUCAGGAGAGCAGUUGUGUAAGUGCCUCCCUUACCACCUCCCUUCUGCUCAUCAUCUUCCUCUCCUGUUUCUGCUUUUUAUCCCUCCCAAAACCUUUCUGUUGCAGCUCUUGACAUCUAGAAACGUACAUGCAAAAACACAAGCAUGCUGCACAAGGCAGGCAGACAAAUGUAGGCCUCCUGUCUUAGGGCAAGCAUUCAAAAAAAAAAAAAAAAACCCAAAAAAUGCAUUACACAAUCCACAAGACAUGCACGUUACUCACCAAAACAACCAUGGAUAUCUGAUUUCUGCAGCUUGUUUCUUUCCAGUAUUGUACCAAUAUAUCAAAGCUGGGGCCUGGUAACAAUCACGUGUGUAUAAAGCCAAAGCCAGUGGACUGGACUUUUUUGUGUAGCUACAUACAAAUAUACAGCAGUGAUCAGAGGCAGUCCUACUGUGAAUCACAGAACUAUCUUGGUGUUUGUUUUGUGAUGUGCUACGAGCGUUUAUGCUGUUGAAUUAAUAAAAAUAACAAGCUAAGAGAUUUUCAAGUGGAAUCCAUUGCUAACUGUCAUUCAUUGCUCCAUUCUUAUUCCACAUACAUUAGGAAGUGCACAUUAUCUUAUAAAUCAAGACAUAAGAAACAAAUAAAUGCCUUUAUGCUAUAAGAAAAAAAAAAAACCACACAGAAAUACUGUAGAAACAUUCACAUCCCCCAUUUCUGUCUUUUACAAAGGGCUGGCUGUGUCUUAUUAUUAUCAAGUAAAAAGUAAACAAAUGUAAUUUCAUCAGUUCUGUCUUUCAUUGAUUCGCAUCAGCAAUAAGAGACAAAGGCAAAGGCAGAAUAGAAAACAGCAGCUUUGUACUAAAAAUUUGAAUGCACAAAAUACUUCUUUCUCCAGCUGUCAAACAUUAAAAAACGCUAUGCAUACCAGUAAUAAUAAAACUGUCAAACAGUCGACCACAAUGGGAAUCACAAUGCUUCAUUAAAAGCUCUGAAGCAGAGUAGAAAAGCUUCCAGCCAUUUGUUAAACAGAACUAGAUGCUGAGAUACUUUCAGAAGCGUCAGAAGAGGCUUUCAUCUACGUUCAUCAGCCAGAUAAAUAUCUCCUUGCUUGCUUCAGUCUGAUCUCGGAACUUGCACCAAUUCAGCAGUAAUAGCUGUAUGUGCCAUUUGCUCUCCUGGGACUGGGGCAUCUCAGUAAAACAGGAGAUUAAUGUUCCUCCCAGUGAUCAGGCCUUCAUUCCACGCGGUGCAGGGAUACAAUCAGUAAUUUGUAUUUACAUGUGUAAUUAGGUAGUAUUUAGAGAACCUAACCUAUUUGUUCAGCUGACAGGCGAUGUUGUUAUAAGGAAUUUCAGCAGACAGGAUAUUUAUAGGUCCUUUAUCUCUAUGUACAAUCAGAACUAAAAUGUCAAACAAUACCCUGAAUGAAGGGUUGUUUCAGUUCAACUCUUCUCCAUUGUUGCUUUUCCCUUUUUUUCCUCCCUGUCUGGUUACUGCUUAAAACUUGGCAGCAGAGAGGAAAAAAGGGAACGUGACUCACACUAACGACUUCAUUUGCUGUAAGAGACCUCAGUAAUUGCUCUAACCCACUUACAAGAAGGCUACCCCUCCUCUCUUUCUCUUCCUCGGUCCUUAGAUAGACAGGCCAUAUUUGUAACAUGAGCAGCCUCGCUGAUCUCAGAGGUCACACUAUCUCUUAUGAAGUAGCCAGGCCUCUUUCUCUUCUCUUUUCAUGUUCUGGAUUCAAGUUAACCCAUCACAAGAACUUAAAGGAGCCUUGGUUUAAGGGUCAGCUUCCUGCCACGGAUUUCUCAUGAACCUAAUAGCCGGGGUUUCCGAAGGAGCCGCAGCUCAGACACAGCGGGGCUCGAGUGGCUGCUCCCAUGACGUGCACCAGUCUGGCAGCCAGUGCGACAGCUUCAAUAUAAAGCCACUGCCGAGUGGAACAAUUGUUGUCUUUUCCCUUCUGUAUGGGACGGGGGCAGGGGGCAGUGAACAGGAACAGAAGAAUAAGCACAGAUGCCUAUGCAGCACUCUUACCAAAAUAUAUUUUCAUUUUUAAUUACAUAAUCAACAUAAUGAGAGUGGCAUUCGUAGUGAGGGGGCGGAACAGAUGGCAAAGACUUAGUUUUCAGCAAGACAUUAAUCAACAACAGCUCUGGUUUCUGCUAGGAAAAGGGCUGUUCUGCUCCAGCAGGGUUAAGAUGGGUGCUUACUACGUAGAACAAAACUCAGUUUCCACAAACAGAAAUUCACUGGAAUUGUUGAAAUCUGCAGGGUACUCUACAACACAGCGACAUCCUACCUGCAAAGGCUUAUUAGAAUCCAACACAAGCUUGGGUCCUAGCAGUAGUUUGGGAUUCUCAUGGCAAAUACUUCUGUGUAGCAUAUAGCAUCUUCACAGAGAUACAGUUACAGCUUUCUCAGAUGUUCUACAUGAAGUUUUCUUUUUUCCCCUUUUCCACAUAACUGACUUAACAUCUUCAGCAUACUGAAGCAGCCAAGUUGGAAUGAGCUAUUCCGAAGGGGACUGAAGCAGAAAGUAGCUUAGAAAGACAUUUAUUAAAACCACAGGCAGAGAAUACAUCACCCAGACACAAUGGACAGGGAAACAACACAUGCAGCCGAAAAGUCUAGCCUCUGUUUUUCUGUCUGAUGAGGUGGCUGGACAGCCACGCACACCGAACAGCCCACAGAUGCCCAGCGCUUCCCUUCCUACGCUGCUAGAUGUCACAAGAUUGCUUUUUCCUGCUUUGCAUUCACCAUCAGAAGCUCUCUGGAGUCACAUGCCCGAGGCCGUGGGCCACAUUCCUGUGGGGAUUACAGCUACCCCAGCAAGGGACAGGGAAGAGAUGCGGGCCAGAAGGAAUGGGCAGGCAGCUCGGGAGGAGGAGCCAUGUUGUAGAGAGCACUGCGAUGAGCACAGGCUGGGAGGCUGGGAGAGCUGUGCUGCAGGAAAGGGAGAGGGGAAAUCACAUACUAUAAUACUGUUAUAUAACAUAGGGCGGCGGGGCAUCUAGAUUCAUCCUCCAUACAGCUUGGAAACGAACCCAUUAUUCCCACAUCUCAACACUCAUCCCUGUAUUGAUGCUGCCAGCAAAUAUUUAAGAGCUGACAAGAAACAUCUCUGCCCAUUCUAGUGACGUGCACACUUAGAAAGGAAGCUUUUCCAUUACUCCCACUUACUCUAUGCAGGCAGUUGAGUUGUAGGGCUAUGCUGUAAGCUAAAAAUCACACCCCUGCCCAUUACCCAGGAGGAGUGAAUGAUAUGAUUGCAGAUAAUGUUUCCCCACCACCCCCAGUGUGUGUGUUAAAAACACAGCUGGGUCAAGUUAAAAACUACAUUAAAGGAAUAUUUCAAUUAUAAAGUCAAAUACUAAAAUACAUGUCUGAACUAAGAAUGCCUGUUCUCCCUUCCAGCAGCUAAUUUUAUUCUAAAUAUCAGGUCAGACUCCCAUACCAUAUUGCUGUCAGCCAUAACAAGAUGCAUCCUUACAUUGUUAUGGCUGAGCAUAACUAACCUGCAGAAUUGUGCAUGUCCUGGGCCUUCAUCAGUUCAUGUUGGGUUAAUCCAGAAAUGGGCCACAGGAACUCAGUUUCUUGGAUACAUCAGAUGGCAGGCAGAGAUUCUUUGCAGGACAUUUUUUUAGGAGAAGUGCCAUAUGUCACCAAAACUGUGCUUAGGAGGUGCAAAGUAGUAGAAAGGAAAGAACACAAAACUCUAUUUUCUGCUUAGCUUGUCCUCAUUUGUAGGGCUUAAGAAGGAGAUGGGAGAAUCAACAGAACUGCAUUUGUACUUACAGCUACUUUACUGGGGAGGGGAGAAGUGACUACAAACCCCUUGCAGAUAUUACCUUUAAGAAAAUAAAAUCAGUGCAACAAGAAAAUAACUCUUCAAACAGAACAAAAUAAAAAAAAAAGCCAAAAAAAGAAAAAAGAAAAGAAAAGCAAUCAACAGAUGCACAAACAAGCACUGACUUCAGUGGAGCUGUAAGGCUGAAUUUGGCUUGAAUUCUGUGAAGUACUUUCAAAGCAGGAGCAUACUGCAUACAAAUGAGCGUUAAAUAAUUUGCAUCAUUAGCAGAGCUCCAAGCAGCUCAUCUGGACUUUGAAAAAGCCACAGCAAACCUACAUUUUUUGAAUACCAUUACGGACAGUCAUUAAUCAGCAUUAAGACAUUUAUCCUAUUGACACUCAGUGCGGCAAUUAGAGACCCAUCCUCCAUCCCAGGUUAUUUUCCUUAUUGAUUUUUUGAUUUCUUGUUGACAAGCUUUUGAGUACCACAGAGGUCAGCAACUCAAGUAAGAAUACCCAUUAAAGAACAUACAAUUACUUCUUAUUUAUAUUGCAUCUUUUAAUUUAGGUUUCUAAAAAAGCUGUCCUGUUUGUGUGGUGUAGAUAUUGUAGACAAUUUAAACACUAACGAAUAUCAAAGAAAUAAAGACACCAGUAGGUAAAUGGGUUUAUCCAGGAUGACACACAAGGACACAGUGUAACAGAAAGAGAUUAAAGGAUCUGGAUGCUCAGCUUCCUGAUUUAACCAUUUCACUCGAACAGCCUCAAGCACAGUUACUGUAGGCCUGGAAUAAACUAUGGCCUCAUACCACACCUUAAAUGCCAGGGGUUGCAGGGAUGGCACAGAACAAGCCAGGUGAAGAAUGUAAGCUAUGCAAAGAGCCAAAGGUACAGUACAGUUUCAUGUGGAUGAAGGUAUUCAGCUGCCUGAGAUGACUUACAGAACACUGAGAGCUAAGUCUGUGCAGCAAAGUGCACAGGGGGAGGCAGGGGCAGGCAGCAGCCUACAGGCAGUUAAAGGGAAGCUGGAAAGAAUCCCUAAUGAAGGCAGGAAUCAUUCUGGGUGACUCAGAAAAUUGGUAUUCACAAAGAGAACUGAGAAUAGGCAAAAAUAAAUAGAGAUGCAAGCAAGAUCCAAAGGCCAAAUCCCUUUCAAUAGCCCAAACACUGAUAUGAUGUGAGCAACCAAACAAAAAGUCCUUGUGCAAACCUCUCUCAGCUGCUUCCUGCACACCAGCCUCUCUUGGUGGCAAUAAUGGCUGCAAGCAGCUUCCACUGCACCGGAUGGAGCUAUGCAGGCUGCUGCCACACCAACACCAUUCUUCUCACAAAAUGUAGCCCCGGUGGUUCCCCUCCCACACCCAGAGCCCUGGUUUCUCCAUGACACCUCAACCAGUGCUGCACUGUGCAACCUCGCAAAUGUCCCAGGAGCCCCAGGAAGGUCAGCUUUGCUUUCAGUAGCUGCCAGCUUUUGCACAUGUCACAGGCACACACACACCGGUUCCUGACAGAUUCCAAGUCCCAGUAGUUUUAUUUAUGGAUGGAUUUAUGCAAGCCAACUUCAGGUCCUGACAGUAUCAGCCUGAUGCAUAUGCAGGCAGCAUUUAACUACUACUGUUGAACAGUUAGUUCCACAAGUCUUACAAUGAAGACCAAACUACAGAUUAGUUUCCAUUUUUGGUAUGAAUAUAAAUGUGAUGGCUUUUUGCCUCUCUUUAUUAAUAUUUCAUUAAAGAGUAGUCGAAGAAAUUACAGUUAGAUGUAUUGGAACUGAGAUCAGUAAGACUGAAGAACAGGAAAGGCUUCCUGACAAGUGAGAUCUAUUAGUCAAUGGAGAAGUCUCCCAAAGGAGAUGAUGGGAGGACAAGAAGUGCUUUAGCAGAGCCAACAUUAAGUGCUCCAAGUGAUGCAGCCAACUCCUAGAGGACUGCCAUGAGACACACUGCCUUCAGCAAGGGAGGAUGCCUGCCAUUAGCCUGCUAAUGCACAUCCUGGCUUGGCCUAUUACUAUUUGGGAACAGCUCAUUGACUAAAAAUUUCAUUAACAAGAAAAUACUAGAAGACAGCUUUCUGAGGGUAAGGGUGAGCCUUUGCAAAAUAUCUUCUCAUUACAAGAAGUGAAGAGGGAAGAAAUGAACAGCUUUCAUAAACAUUUCUGCCAGGAUUUAUCCACUAGCCUUUCCUUAAAACUACUUGAAAGAUGCAAAAUUGCUGGAUCCUCUCUUUCUUACUCUGCAAAAGCUAGCCACUUUGUCAUCUCUGUCUAGCACUACCAAAUGCAUAGAUUAAUAAAUAAGUAACAGCUAGAAGUUACAAAGAGGUUUAAGACCGAGAAUACAGAUCCCUAAUUCCUAUACUUUAGAAAGCAGACAAAACCAGAAUACAAAACGGAGAUGCUACAAUUAAGGCAGAAACAACCUUUUCAAUGUUACAGUGAAAAAGAACACACUGCAAAAAUAAAUGUAGAUGAAAUCAUUUUUCAAAGCCUUUAAUGUCAGUCCAAAAACAAGAACAUAAACGCUCUCCUCAAGAUCCCCUGGUAUUUACACACUGCACUGUAUAGCAGAAAGGCUGCUUCAGUGGUUCAGCUGCUAACUUCCACGCAUUCUGUAUUUAGACUUUAAAUGUAACCUUAAUAAUAAACGCCCAAGGUUGGAUGUUUAUCUUGGUAUCCUUUUAUCAAUUAUGACACUCAGCCCUAUAUCUGCAGUAAAAGAAAGGUCUUUGCACGUAUGAUGCAACAUUUAUAAUAUUUUGGAGAAGAAAAUUCUCUGAAAGAUGGAACAGAAAGAAAGAAUCCAUUUUUACUUUUAAAAGCAGAGUCACCAAUACCACAAUGAAGCCUGACAACACUGCUGAACAUGACCUUUGCCUCAACUGCAUGUUUCGUUUCUUCAGAAACGUGAUAUUUCACGAGUGCCGUUAUAGAACGGGAUACUUUGCAGAGCCACUUCAGCAUCUAAUUCUUUCUCCCAUCUCAAGUCCCUUGGUACUGGGGGCUCAGCAGGAGUGGUGCUAAAGAAGCCUCUUGAACACUGUCAGGGAAAAGAAAGGCGUCUGGAUGAGGACCUACAAGAUACAGUUUAGUAGCUCAUGGUAGCAAGGGUAACGGGAGGAUGGUUGGACUAGACCAUCUCGUAGGUCCUUUCCAACCUUGUCAUUCUAUGAUUCUAAGCAGUGUUCCCCAGAAGCUUAGGACAGAGUAAAGACACGGUAGCUUUAAAGACCAGUGACAUUUGGCCAGUUAAGUUUGUCAGGGCAAACUCUUGACAGUCAUCCAAGCUUCACCUCGUGCCGGUCAUUCCAGCUGCUGGAACAGUUGUGUGGAAUUAGAAGCAUAAACAGAAAACAAUUAGGUGAAAUCUCUGAUGCCAGUGGCCCAACUUGUGUUACCUGUGCCUGUAUGUAACCCA